rnacentral:rRNA from 1 species
AGUGAACGCUGGCGGUAGGCCUAACACAUGCAAGUCGAACGGCAUCACAGUAAGAGCUUGCUCUUACGGGUGGCGAGUGGCGGACGGGUGAGGAAUACAUCGGAUUCUACUUUUUCGUUUGUGAUAACGUAGGGUAACUUACGCUAAUACCGCAUACGUCCUACUUGUGAAAGCAGGCGAUCUUCGGACCUUUCGCGAUUGUAUGAGCCGAUGUCGGAUUAGCUAGUUGGCGGGGUAAAGGCCCACCAAGGCUACGAUCCGUAGCUGGUCUGAGAGGAUGAUCCGCCACACUGGAACUGAGACACGGUCCAGACUCCUACGGGAGGCAGCAGUGGGGAAUAUUGGGCAAUGGGCGCAAGCCUGAUCCAGCCAUACCGCGUGGGUGAAGAAGGCCUUCGGGUUGUAAAGCGCUGUUGUUGGGAAAGAAAAGAAGCAGGUUAAUACGCGGCUGUUCUGACGGUACCCAAAGAAUAAGCACCGGCUAACUUCGUG